rnacentral:lncRNA from 1 species
GUGACGUUUGGAAGCAGGUGGCUGUGCAGUUGGUGACCUCCGUUUUUCCCACGGGGCUGGUCUGCCACCGGCUGUGUUCUCGUCCCCAUCCUGGGCGUCUGCCUGUCGGCGUAUGUCACAUUGGCUUGUUCUCAUGGCGCAUAGUGCCCUGCCGCCUGGAUUCACCACAGUCCUUCAGCCAGCCCCCACUGUGUGCCCUCUGUGGGUGUUAACUCCAGGUACUUGGGCUGCAGGGUAGAGGAGGCAGCCAGGCCUGAGGCUGUGCCCCUCUGUGGCCUUAGGAGUCACAGCAGCCGCCUCUGAGAGGCCAACAGGUAUCAGGGCACCCAGAGCCACCACUGUGUCCAGAACGGCAUUUCCACUUCACUGGCCAGGUCUAAAGUCCUGAGGGGCCUUUGCUCCAGGGACCCGGGGUGCCUCCCUCAGCAGGGCAGGAACUAGGCCAGGAAUACCAUGGGGCACUGAAGGAGGACCCUCCCUCUAUCCCUGUAACCCUCCAUCCCUGUACCUCUCCAUCCCUCCAUCCCUGCACCCCUCCGUCCCUGUGCCCUUCUAUCUCUCCAUCCCUGCACCCCUCCAUCCCUGUACCCCAUCCCUGUACCCCUCCGUCCCCCAUCCCAGCACCCCUCCAUCCCUGUACCCCUCCAUCCUUCCAUCCCUGCACCCUCCAUCCCUCUAUCCCUGCACCCCUCCAUCCCUGUACCCUCCAUUCCUCUAUCCCUGCACCCCUCCAUCCCUGUACCCUUCCAUCACUCCAUCCCUGCAUCCCUCUGUCCCUGCAUCCCUCCAUCCCUGCACCCCUCCAUCCCUCCAUCCCUGCACCCCUCCUUCGUUGUACCCCUCCAUCCUCCAUCUCUGCAUCCCUGCACCCCUCCAUCCUCCAUCCCUGUACCCUUACAUCCUCCAUCCCUGCAUUCCUCCAUCGCAGCAUCCCUGCAUGCCUCCGUUCUCUGCAUCCCUCCACCCCAGUAUCCCUGCACCUCUUCAUCCCUCCAUUCCUGCAUCCCUCUAUUUUUCCAUCCCUCCAUUCCUGUAUCCCUGUACCCUCCAUCCUCCAUCCCAGCAUCCCUCCAUCCCUGCUCCCCACUCUCACUUCCCUUCCCUUCACAGACAGGCUUUUCCUGCCAUCCUCAGACCCCACCCAGGGUUACCUGAUGCCUUUCCAACCGCACACGGGGACUGACUCACCUCUCUCUUUCUCAGUCCCAAAGUCCCGAAAGAGAGCAUCUGAUGUGGCCAGCUUGUGACAAGGCGUCCACCUUCUGUCCAUGACACGGAGGCCAGGGGAAGAAGGAGAUCCGGUUGGCAGCUAAACCGCGCUGGGAACAGGGGCCUGAGUCCUGGACUAGGGCUCUUUCCCCGGGGCUGCUGCAGAUGGGGAGGAGCCUACACCCGCCUCCCGAGUGCUCACCUUGAUGAAAGGACUGUGCUAACCAGACCUGACAGGCUGGAGAAUGGCCAGUCAGCCUGAGGCCACCGCGGGACACCACCUAGGCCCAGCUUCUCCCCUGACCCUUUAUGUGAACCAGAACAGCCGCUUCCCCAGUGAGCUGUCAGAAGGCGUCGUGCCUGUCUUGCUAGUGGGGAAACUGAGGCUCAGAGAGGCAGAAGACUUGCCCAAGAUCACACCACCGGGACCCAGGAUUCAAGCACAGGCCUGCCCAGGCUCUCUGUGGCCUCCUGGCUGCGAGGAGGCAGCCAGGGACCAGGUGCCACCCUUCUGAGGUGAGGCAAGGAAUGCCUGUCCCUUGGGCACAUCUAACUUGGUGAAGGUCCCAC